rnacentral:sRNA from 1 species
UCAGAAAAACUUCCUGUGAGAAUGAAGCGUAGAAGCAAUACUAACGAUGUAGGUGAACCAAAAACUCAUAGUGAAGAUUCAGAAGAAGUCCAUACCGAGAUAAAUUCAUUGACAACAGUAACUCAUAAAAUCUUCAAUCUAAUACAAGAAAGAGAAACAAUACAGUAAAGAGAAUCUGAACAAAGAGAGGCUGAGAAGAAGAAAAAUAACGUAU